rnacentral:rRNA from 1 species
AACGGCGAGUGAAGCGGUAACAGCUCAAAUUUGAAAUCUGGGUCUUUCAGGCUCCGAGUUGUAAUUUGUAGAAGAUGCUUCGGGUGUGGCUCCGGUCUAAGUUCCUUGGAACAGGACGUCAUAGAGGGUGAGAAUCCCGUAUGUGACUGGUUGCCUUCGCCCAUGUGAAGCUCUUUCGACGAGUCGAGUUGUUUGGGAAUGCAGCUCAAAAUGGGUGGUAAAUUUCAUCUAAAGCUAAAUAUUGGCCAGAGACCGAUAGCGCACAAGUAGAGUGAUCGAAAGAUGAAAAGCACUUUGGAAAGAGAGUUAAACAGUACGUGAAAUUGUUGAAAGGGAAGCGCUUGCAACCAGACUUGCACGCUGCCGAUCAUCCGGGGUUCUCCCCGGUGCACUCGGUUGCGUUCAGGCCAGCAUCGGUUUGGGUGGUUGGAUAAAGGCCUUGGGAAUGUAGCUUCUUUCGGGGAGUGUUAUAGCCCUCGGUGCAAUGCAGCCUACCCGGACCGAGGACCGCGCUUCGGCUAGGAUGCUGGCGUAAUGGUUGUAAGCGACCCGUCUUGAAACACGGACCAAGGAGUCUAACAUCUAUGCGAGUGUUUGGGUGUCAAACCCAUACGCGUAAUGAAAGUGAACGGAGGUGAGAACCCUUAAGGGUGCAUCAUCGACCGAUCCUGAUGUCUUCGGAUGGAUUUGAGUAAGAGCAUAGCUGUUGGGACCCGAAAGAUGGUGAUCUAUACUUGAAUAGGGUGAAGCCAGAGGAAACUCUGGUGGAGGCUCGCAGCGGUUCUGACGUGCAAAUCGAUCGUCAAAUUUGAGUAUAGGGGC